GGAUGUGAGGGCGAUCUGGCUGCGACAUCUGUCACCCCAUUGAUCGCCAGGGUUGAUUUGGCUGAUCUGUCUGCCUAGGUGGGUGUCCCCUUCCUCCUUCACUGCUCCAUCUGCGUCCCUCCUGAAGCUGCGCGCUUGGUGGAAGAGGAGGACCAUCCCCGAUAGAGGAGGACCGUUCUUCGGUCAAGGGUAUACGAGUAGCUGCGCUCCCCUGCUAGAACCUCCAAAAAAAACAAGCUCUCAAAUGAUAGAUCUCAUGGUCUAGUUCCUGGUGAUUUUCCUAAAAAUGAUUUGGCCAAAAAUAU
rnacentral:snRNA from 1 species